rnacentral:tRNA from 1 species
UGCCUGAAUGCUUAAGGGUCACUAUGAUAAAGUGAACAUAGAGGUACACCAGCCCUCUCAUUUCCUUACUUAG